GAUGAACGCUGGCGGCGUGCCUAAUACAUGCAAGUCGAGCGAAUGGAUUAAGAGCUUGCUCUUAUGAAGUUAGCGGCAGACGGGUGAGUAACACGUGGGUAACCUGCCCAUAAGACUGGGAUAACUCCGGGAAACCGGGGCUAAUACCGGAUAACAUUUUGAACCGCAUGGUUCGAAAUUGAAAGGCGGCUCCGGCUGUCACUUAUGGAUGGACCCGGGUCGCAUUAGCUAGUUGGUGAGGUAAAGGCUCACCAAGGCAACGAUGCGUAGCCGACCUGAGAGGGUGAUCGGCCACACUGGGACUGAGACACGGCCCAGACUCCUACGGGAGGCAGCAGUAGGGAAUCUUCCGCAAUGGACGAAAGUCUGACGGAGCAACGCCGCGUGAGUGAUGAAGGCUUUCGGGUCGUAAAACUCUGUUGUUAGGGAAGAACAAGUGCUAGUUGAAUAAGCUGGCACCUUGACGGUACCUAACCAGAAAGCCACGGCUAACUACGUGCCAGCAGCCGCCGUAA
rnacentral:rRNA from 1 species